rnacentral:rRNA from 1 species
GUAGGUGGCAAGCGUUGUCCGGAAUUAUUGGGCGUAAAGCGCGCGCAGGGCGGUCCUUUAAGUCUGAUGUGAAAGCCCACGGCUCAACCGUGGAGGGUCAUUGGAAACUGGGGGACUUGAGUACAGAAGAGGAAAGCGGAAUUCCAAGUGUAGCGGUGAAAUGCGUAGAGAUUUGGAGGAACACCAGUGGCGAAGGCGGCUUUCUGGUCUGUAACUGACGCUGAGGCGCGAAAGCGUGGGGAGCAAACAGGAUUAGAUACCCUGGUAGUCCACGCCGUAAACGAUGAGUGCUAAGUGUUAGGGGGUUUCCGCCCCUUAGUGCCGCAGCUAACGCAUUAAGCACUCCGCCUGGGGAGUACGGCCGCAAAGGCUG